UACCCUAAAAAGUUCUGCGAACAC
rnacentral:tRNA from 1 species